AUGACCUUGCAUGAUAAGAUUGUAUGGGUGAAGGCACCCCAAAACUACUAACAAAAACAUUAAGAGACAGACACCGAAACAAAACUAAAUUGCAGCAGAAAAUAUAGCGGCAGAAGCUGAGUUAUUCUCAACCUUACAGCUUGUCCUCGUACUCAGAAAGUGGGGUCAUCUGCUCCUUCAAUCCCUUCCUCUUACGGAUCUCAGCAACAUGGCCUGCUGCCUGGGAACCCGGUUCCAAUGGAUCUGAUGACAUCAUAUCCCAGUGAUCAAACACACAUUGUGGGAAAGCCUGUCCGGAGGUUGCAGCCCUCAGAGUGCUGGAGAAUCCAAAAGACUCAAUAACUGGAAGGUAGGCCUUGAUGUUGUAAAGUGGAGUACCAGGCCUCUGCAUCUCCUCAAACACAUGUCCACGCUUCUGGUUAAGAACACUGUAAAUACCACCAAGUGCCUGCUCAGGGGCUUGAAUCUCAACCAAGUAAACAGGCUCCAGAAGCCUUGGUUUGGCCGUAAGCUGAGAAGCAUAGAAAACCCUCCUGGCAGUCGGAAUGAUUUGACCACCACCUCUGUGGAUAGCAUCAGCAUGGAGAACCACAUCACAGACUUCA
rnacentral:lncRNA from 1 species